AACGCGAAGAACCUUACCCAGGCUCGAAAUGCAGGUGGCGAUACCAGAGAUGGUAUUUUCCGUAAGGACGCCUGUAUAGGUGCUGCAUGGCUGUCGUCAGCUCGUGCCGUGAGGUGUUGGGUUAAGUCCCGCAACGAGCGCAACCCUUAUCAUUAGUUGCCAACACGCAAGGUGGGGACUCUAAUGAGACUGCCUAGGUUAACUAGGAGGAAGGUGAGGAUGACGUCAAGUCCGCAUGGCCUUUAUGUCUGGGGCUACACACGUGCUACAAUGGUCGGUACAGAAGGCAGCAAGACCGCAAGGUGGAGCAAAUCCGUAAAACCGAUCUCAGUUCAGAUUGUAGUCUGCAACUCGACUACAUGAAGCUGGAAUUGCUAGUAAUGACGUGUCAGCAACAACGUCGUGAAUACGUUCCCGGGCCUUGUA
rnacentral:rRNA from 1 species